GAUGAACGCUGGCGGCGUGCCUAACACAUGCAAGUCGAACGAGAAGUUAACCGCUGAUUCCUUCGGGAUGAGGAGGUUAGCAGAAAGUGGCGAACGGGUGAGUAACGCGUGGGUAAUCUACCCUGUAAGUGGGGGAUAACCCUCCGAAAGGAGGGCUAAUACCGCAUAAUAUCUUCACUUCUAAAAGAAGAGAAGAUUAAAGAUGGCCUCUGUCUUAAGCUAUCACUUCAGGAUGAGCCUGCGUCCUAUUAGUUAGUUGGUGGGGUAAUGGCCUACCAAGACCACAAUGGGUAGCCGGUCUGAGAGGAUGUACGGCCACACUGGGACUGAGAUACGGCCCAGACUCCUACGGGAGGCAGCAGUGGGGAAUAUUGCGCAAUGGGGGAAACCCUGACGCAGCGACGCCGCGUGGAUGAUGAAGGCCUUUGGGUUGUAAAAUCCUGUUCUGGGGGAAGAAACCUUAAGGGUCCAAUAAACCCUUAAGC
rnacentral:rRNA from 1 species